GCGGAGGAAAAGAAACCAACAGGGAUUGCCCUAGUAACGGCGAGUGAAGCGGCAACAGCUCAAAUUUGAAAUCUGGCGCAAGCCCGAGUUGUAAUUUGUAGAGGAUGCUUCUAGGUAGCGACCGGUCUAAGUUCCUUGGAACAGGACGUCAUAGAGGGUGAGAAUCCCGUAUGUGACCGGCCCGCACCUUCUACGUAGCUCCUUCGAAGAGUCGAGUUGUUUGGGAAUGCAGCUCUAAAUGGGAGGUAAAUUUCUUCUAAAGCUAAAUACCGGCCAGAGACCGAUAGCGCACAAGUAGAGUGAUCGAAAGAUGAAAAGCACUUUGGAAAGAGAGUUAAAAAGCACGUGAAAUUGUUGAAAGGGAAGCGCUUACAACCAGACUUCUGGGCGGUGUUCCGCCGGUCUUUUGACCGGUCUACUCUCCGUCCCGAGGCCAACAUCAUCUGGGACCGCUGGAUAAGACCUUAGGAAUGUAGCUCCCCUCGGGGAGUGUUAUAGCCUCUGGUGAUGCAGCGCGUCCCGGGUGAGGUCCGCGCUUCGGCAAGGAUGUUGGCGUAAUGGUUGUCAGCGGCCCGUCUUGAAACACGGACCAAGGAGUCUAACAUCUAUGCGAGUGUUCGGGUGUCAAACCCCUACGCGUAAUGAAAGUGAACGGAGGUGGGAAGCGCAAGCUGCACCAUCGACCGAUCCUGAUGUCCUCGGAUGGAUUUGAGUAAGAGCAUAGCUGUUGGGACCCGAAAGAUGGUGAACUAUGCCUGAAUAGGGUGAAGCCAGAGGAAACUCUGGUGGAGGCUCGCAGCGGUUCUGACGUGCAAAUCGAUCGUCAAAUUUGGGUAUAGGGGCGA
rnacentral:rRNA from 1 species